rnacentral:rRNA from 1 species
UACAGGGGGGGCAAGCGUUGUUCGGAAUUACUGGGCGUAAAGGGCUCGUAGGCGGCCAACUAAGUCCGACGUGAGAUCCCCAAGCUUAACUUGGGAACUGCGUCGGAUACUGGAUGGCUUGAAUUCGGGAGAGGGAUGCAGAAUUCCAGGUGUAGCGGUGAAAUGCGUAGAUAUCUGGAGGAAUACCGGUGGCGAAGGCGGCAUCCUGGACCGACAUUGACGCUGAGGAGCGAAAGCUAGGGGAGCAAACGGG